AGCUCUUCUCGGCCUUUUUGGCUAAGAUCAAGUACAGCAUCUGUUCUUAUCAGUUUAAUAUCUGAUAUUUUCUUUAUCUGAGGCUAUAUAUUAAAUGGAUUUUCCGAGCAGGGAGCUGCAAUAGGAACUUACUCUGCAGGGAGA
ensembl:snRNA U2 U2 spliceosomal RNA